rnacentral:lncRNA from 1 species
GUGGGGAGAUGAAUCAGAUCGGACAGAGUUCCUGUGAUGGAAGGUCAGGUUAAUUUUGGUGCAGUGAGAGUGAGUUUUCACUGAUGCUUUACUUCUCCAUGCACAGGUAAGGAAUUGCCAGAAACCAGCAGCUACUGAGCUGAGAUGGCGUCAAUCAUGGAGGGAGGAGAGGCUGGUGGUGCUUCCCAGCUUGGAGAAGGCUGCGUCAGGCAAGAGAAUCACCUGUUUCCUUUUCCUCCUCCAACAAUAGAAUUCCAUAACAUGGCAUCCAUAAACCGACAUCGUCUCUGUGACCGACUUCUAUCCUAUGCAUUUGAAUCCUUCCAACUUAUCACCUCUCACCUUAUCUUCUUCUCCCCUCUCUCUCUCUCUCUCUCUCUCUCUCUCUCUUUCCUCUCCUCUCCUCUCCUCUCCUAAGAACAAGAAACAUAUAAGAUAGCCGCUCUCCUCGGUACUCGGAGUGGUCCAGAGGGUGAAACAAGCUCCUCCUUUGGCCAUAUUGUGACGGCUUUCAAGUACUCCAAUAGCAUCAGUACUGUUGCUGAGAAAAAGCUGGCCUCUGAUUCAUGAAGGCCGUAUUCCUUCCAAGUCAUACCUUCUGAAACUUGUAGCAAGAAUUCCAUUGACCCAUUCUUAGCUCAUCUUUUCCUGCAAUACCAUAACAUGAAUUCUACUUCACACAGUAAAACAAAUAUUGUAAUCCAUGCUUUGAUCAGUUCAAAAUACCACCAUGAACAGAUUAUACUUGGGUAAUAAUAGGCCACACAACAUAAAAUUUAUUGGGAUGAUAAUAGACUCGUCUAAUCCUGUAAACCGUUGUCGUAGGAUCAUUCAAGCGACAUGUCUGCCGAAUACAAAAAUGACCUAGAUCUCUGUUUCACCAACAUAAUUUAGCUAGCAAAUAUACGACAAAAAGGAAACAGUGAACAUUGUUAUGUACAUCACUUGAGCUGCCCUAUACAAGAGAUCACAGUCGUCUAUUAAUUCUUUACAGGUCUCUGCCUCUUGGGUCGAAAUCUUACAAUCUCGAUCGUCUUGUGUGUUUCAUCGGACUGAAUCCUGCAUGCCGAUGACCAGAAGGGAGUGUUUGCCUCCCGGUUAAGGAUGAGUUGGGCUUUAUGUCCCAGCCUUCUACAUUCUUAGGAACGUAUCCAUAAAAAAGAAUCUGAGCUAGGACGCUAUGAGCAUUGAUGCUCGGUGCGUUCGGCAAGUGAAAUAUCUCACACUUUUGCUCAUCCUGAGUGGAGCAUCCAUCUCUGGUGUCAUGGUACUCCAUGGAGCUUGGCAGUAUGAAAUGAUCACAUGGAUCAUUUGUUACUCCCCUUUGGCCCUCUUGUUGUACAUGGAAUUGUCGCCUUCUUUCUGAGUAGAUUGUAGCUGCUUUGCUCAAUAACUCAGACACAGCAGUCUUGUAGUCAGCGGCAUGAUGCUUGUGAUGGCCUGCAGGAGGAAACAAGUCUAGCAUUCAUGUAUUAAUACACUAGAGAACGCUAUCAGAUAAUUCAAAACGACAAACACUUUGAAGCAUUUCUUUAACAGUCAUGGCACCACCUCAAAAUCAAACAAUUUAACAUGCAGUAUAUAACAAAAGACGAGAAAAUCCUAAAAGCAAUCAGCUUAAAACUGCUCUAGAGUUUACAUCCAUUUAUCCUAGGUAUCUUGCUACUUUAUGCUGCAUUCCAUGAGAUAAGUCUGGUUAUUGUUCGCUUGAAUGAUACAUUCCUGGUAUAAGGUGGUGUUUAAGUUCUUGAUAUCUAGCAUAAGCUUUCAGUAGUCCUCAUCAUACCAAUCGUAGUCUAUUUGCCCGUACCAUGACCACAGGAAAAAGAAAAAACCAUAAUUAAUAGAGCAACAAGAUAGACCGAUCCAACUGUUCUGGGAUCUGCCACAUUCUUAUUCUCACAUAGCAUAAAAUGAAACAUAAUAUUUGAAUUUAAAAUUCUACGUAAAUUUGAAAGGAGCAUAGUAUAAGUUAGUUACUAUACAUGAAAUUUUUAAAUUUCAUACCUACAUGAGGGGAGCUAUUCCAUUUUAUUAGCUUGACAUCACCUCCUAGCUCCUCUAGAUGAUGAGCAAAAUUACAGACAACUGGAUAUGGAGCGAGUUCAUCAUCUUCUGAACAAAAUAUGAGGAAAGGACCCACAUUCUGCAUAUUAUGGCAUCUAAAAUUAGUAACUUAGAGCAGCACAAACAGAUUAUACAGAGAGAAGCAUACUUGAGAUUUGUAUUAAGAGCCAUACAGCAGAAGAAUACAGAGUCUGCAAAUAGUCAGCAUGCUGUCCUUCAAAUCUGUCUAUGAAGAAAGUGCUGAGACCAGAUGCUAAGGCCUUUGCCAUCCAUGAAACAACUCUAGGUGGGUGGGACCUCUUGAGAACAGUCGGAUGAAGGAUAAAUCGAGUGCCCAAAUCACCGGUAAAGUCUACUGGACUAGAAUCAUAUAUUUGCCCACAUAAACAGUCUUUUACAAGCUGAUAAUUAUCCUUCAAAACCCAAAAUACGAGAAUCAGAAAGGAUGCACAUAUCUAGGACAGGAUAGUCAUCAGAGCUGAUUUUUUAGUUGCGUAACUCAUGCUUCACAACAAGAAAAUUCAUAUUACUUUAGAAAUUGUUUGCUCUUAAACAUUAGAGAUUGGUGAGUUUUAAGUGUUCCAUGAACUAUUGCAGAUUUGUCUUAACAACAAAGUCUGGAACACAUAAAUCAUGACUUACCACACCAAGUCGCCCUUCACAUUUUCCGUCAAUCAACUGGAAAGAAGAAAAAACAUAAAUGUCCUUUACUGAUACAACUGAAGAAGUUAAAUGUCAAAUAUAUCAGAAAGCUGACCUGAAGGACCUUGUACAUGCAACCUCUUGGUGCCCCGGAAAAAGCCGAAAAGACAAUAGGUAAUGGUGAAACAUUUAGUUCCUGUAUCCCAAAAACAGUAGAAUAUAAUGGAACAUGUUUCUUUCUACAGUGCGCUUCCGGAAAGCAAUAAAGCCUCAGAGUCAAGUAGAGAACAGUGAGACCUAUAAUUAGAGACUUAUGUAACAUCUAUAUCAAGAGUGUCUUCAAAUAUCAUCACAAAGUCACUACAAAUGAACUUAUCCAUGCAUCAUUAGUGAACAAAAGAUGAUGGUUCUGGAGGUCUAUCUAUUCCAUCAUUGUCAACCAUUUGUAAUUUCAGAGAAGUAAACAUGGAACAAACAGAGACAUCAAAUCCGACACACGUGAAUCUAAGUCCUCCAAAUUCCAAACCAACCAUGCCAACUGCUGUUCCUGAACCCCCAUGAUUAUUUCAGCCUAAUUAUUGAAAGGAACCCUAGAAGACAGUUGAACAGCAAAAAUUAAUUGGGGGCAGGUAGGCUUAAACAUCAAAGUCAAUACAAUUCAAUGAUAUUGUACCACCAAUUUUAGAUCGUGCAGAAUUUCUAGUCAUGUGACCUAUAUGGAUUACAGUAUGCACAAUUACAUAUGCCUUUGUUCCUUAAAAGAAGUCAAAGUAAUAGGUCUAUCUUAAGUGUAUCUUCAGCAUAUUUACCUGAACAAGCUCUUUAAGAACACCAUCAGCCAGUGAUGUAGCCUUCUCUGGAAAAUAUCUGCAUAUAUUUUAACCUAUGAGCGAGCUUAAAAGCAAUUCAUAUUAUAGACAUAUAUAACAGCACCAUUGUUUAGAAAAUUAGCAAGAAAACUAGCAAUUCAAGAAAUCUAACAGAGUUAGAAAUCUGCAUGAAUUCGUUCUACAGAAUUUAGAGUAAUCUUCAAUGACUAAGCUCCUCCAUGCAACAAUCCAUCAAACCAAGAUGGGAAUUUUUGAGCUUCGAGUCUUGCAAGGGGGGAAUGACAAAGGAAUU